rnacentral:rRNA from 1 species
GGUUAAGUUAGAAAGGGCGCACGGUGGAUGCCUUGACACUAGGAGUCGAUGAAGGACGGGACUAACGCCGAUAUGCUUCGGGGAGCUGUAAGUAAGCUUUGAUCCGAAGAUUUCCGAAUGGGGAAACCCACCAUACGUAAUGGUAUGGUAUCCUUAUCUGAAUACAUAGGAUAAGGAAGACAGACCCAGGGAACUGAAACAUCUAAGUACCUGGAGGAAGAGAAAGCAAAUGCGAUUUCCUGAGUAGCGGCGAGCGAAACGGAACAUAGCCCAAACCAAGAGGCUUGCCUCUUGGGGUUGUAGGACAUUCUAUACGGAGUUACAAAGGAACGAGGUAGACGAAGCGACCUGGAAAGGUCCGUCGUAGAGGGUAACAACCCCGUAGUCGAAACUUCGUUCUCUCUUGAAUGUAUCCUGAGUACGGCGGAACACGUGAAAUUCCGUCGGAAUCUGGGAGGACCAUCUCCCAAGGCUAAAUACUCCCUAGUGAUCGAUAGUGAACCAGUACCGUGAGGGAAAGGUGAAAAGCACCCCGGAAGGGGAGUGAAAGAGAUCCUGAAACCGUGUGCCUACAAAUAGUCAGAGCCCGUUAACGGGUGAUGGCGUGCCUUUUGUAGAAUGAACCGGCGAGUUACGAUCCCGUGCGAGGUUAAGCUGAAGAGGCGGAGCCGCAGCGAAAGCGAGUCUGAAUAGGGCGUUUAGUACGUGGUCGUAGACCCGAAACCAGGUGAUCUACCCAUGUCCAGGGUGAAGUUCAGGUAACACUGAAUGGAGGCCCGAACCCACGCACGUUGAAAAGUGCGGGGAUGAGGUGUGGGUAGCGGAGAAAUUCCAAUCGAACCUGGAGAUAGCUGGUUCUCCCCGAAAUAGCUUUAGGGCUAGCCUUAAGUGUAAGAGUCUUGGAGGUAGAGCACUGAUUGGACUAGGGGUCCUCAUCGGAUUACCGAAUUCAGUCAAACUCCGAAUGCCAAUGACUUAUCCUUAGGAGUCAGACUGCGAGUGAUAAGAUCCGUAGUCAAAAGGGAAACAGCCCAGACCGCCAGCUAAGGUCCCAAAGUGUGUAUUAAGUGGAAAAGGAUGUGGAGUUGCUUAGACAACUAGGAUGUUGGCUUAGAAGCAGCCACCAUUUAAAGAGUGCGUAAUAGCUCACUAGUCGAGUGACUCUGCGCCGAAAAUGUACCGGGGCUAAAUACACCACCGAAGCUGCGGAUUGAUACCAAUGGUAUCAGUGGUAGGGGAGCGUUCUAAGGACAGUGAAGUCAGACCGGAAGGACUGGUGGAGUGCUUAGAAGUGAGAAUGCCGGUAUGAGUAGCGAAAGACGGGUGAGAAUCCCGUCCACCGAAUGCCUAAGGUUUCCUGAGGAAGGCUCGUCCGCUCAGGGUUAGUCAGGACCUAAGCCGAGGCCGACAGGCGUAGGCGACGGACAACAGGUUGAUAUUCCUGUACCACCUCUUUAUCGUUUGAGCAAUGGAGGGACGCAGAAGGAUAGAAGAAGCGUGCGAUUGGUUGUGCACGUCCAAGCAGUUAGGCUGAUAAGUAGGCAAAUCCGCUUAUCGUGAAGGCUGAGCUGUGAUGGGGAAGCUCCUUAUGGAGCGAAGUCUUUGAUUCCCCGCUGCCAAGAAAAGCUUCUAGCGAGAUAAAAGGUGCCUGUACCGCAAACCGACACAGGUAGGCGAGGAGAGAAUCCUAAGGUGUGCGAGAGAACUCUGGUUAAGGAACUCGGCAAAAUGACCCCGUAACUUCGGGAGAAGGGGUGCUUUCUUAACGGAAAGCCGCAGUGAAUAGGCCCAAGCGACUGUUUAGCAAAAACACAGCUCUCUGCGAAGCCGUAAGGCGAAGUAUAGGGGGUGACACCUGCCCGGUGCUGGAAGGUUAAGGAGAGGGGUUAGCGUAAGCGAAGCUCUGAACUGAAGCCCCAGUAAACGGCGGCCGUAACUAUAACGGUCCUAAGGUAGCGAAAUUCCUUGUCGGGUAAGUUCCGACCCGCACGAAAGGUGUAACGAUUUGGGCACUGUCUCAACCAGAGACUCGGUGAAAUUAUAGUACCUGUGAAGAUGCAGGUUACCCGCGACAGGACGGAAAGACCCCGUGGAGCUUUACUGUAGCCUGAUAUUGAAUUUUGGUACAGUUUGUACAGGAUAGGCGGGAGCCUUUGAAACCGGAGCGCUAGCUUCGGUGGAGGCGCUGGUGGGAUACCGCCCUGACUGUAUUGAAAUUCUAACCUACGGGUCUUAUCGACCCGGGAGACAGUGUCAGGUGGGCAGUUUGACUGGGGCGGUCGCCUCCUAAAGUGUAACGGAGGCGCCCAAAGGUUCCCUCAGAAUGGUUGGAAAUCAUUCGUAGAGUGCAAAGGCAUAAGGGAGCUUGACUGCGAGACCUACAAGUCGAGCAGGGACGAAAGUCGGGCUUAGUGAUCCGGUGGUUCCGCAUGGAAGGGCCAUCGCUCAACGGAUAAAAGCUACCCCGGGGAUAACAGGCUUAUCUCCCCCAAGAGUCCACAUCGACGGGGAGGUUUGGCACCUCGAUGUCGGCUCAUCGCAUCCUGGGGCUGUAGUCGGUCCCAAGGGUUGGGCUGUUCGCCCAUUAAAGCGGUACGCGAGCUGGGUUCAGAACGUCGUGAGACAGUUCGGUCCCUAUCCGUCGUGGGCGUAGGAAAUUUGAGAGGAGCUGUCCUUAGUACGAGAGGACCGGGAUGGACGCACCGCUGGUGUACCAGUUGUUCUGCCAAGGGCAUAGCUGGGUAGCUAUGUGCGGAAGGGAUAAGUGCUGAAAGCAUCUAAGCAUGAAGCCCCCCUCAAGAUGAGAUUUCCCAUAGCGUAAGCUAGUAAGAUCCCUGAAAGAUGAUCAGGUUGAUAGGUUCGAGGUGGAAGCAUGGUGACAUGUGGAGCUGACGAAUACUAAUAGAUCGAGGACUUAACCAU